UACAGAGGGUGCGAGCGUUGUUCGGAAUUAUUGGGCGUAAAGCGCAUGUAGGCGGGCCUUUAAGUCGCGUGUGAAAGCCCCAGGCUCAACCUGGGAAGUGCGCGCGAAACUGGAGACCUUGAGUGCUGGAGAGGGUGGCGGAAUUCCCGGUGUAGAGGUGAAAUUCGUAGAUAUCGGGAGGAACACCAGAGGCGAAGGCGGCCACCUGGACAGACACUGACGCUGAGACGCGAAAGCGUGGGGAGCAAACAGG
rnacentral:rRNA from 1 species